rnacentral:rRNA from 1 species
ACGCUCGACACCUACGGGAGGCAGCAGUGAGGAAUAUUGGUCAAUGGGCGCUAGCCUGAACCAGCCAAGUAGCGUGAAGGAUGAAGGCUCUAUGGGUCGUAAACUUUCUUUUAUAUAAGAAUAAAGUGCAGUAUGUAUACUGUUUUGUAUGUAUUAUAUGAAUAAGGAUCGGCUAACUCCGUGCUAGCAGCCGCGGUAAUCUGAGCGGGCUGGCAAGGC